GAUCAUGGCUCAGGACGAACGCUGGCGGCGUGCCUAACACAUGCAAGUCGAACGGAGAAUUUUAUUUCGGUAGAAUUCUUAGUGCCGAACGGGUGAGUAACGCGUAGGCAACCUGCCCUUUAGACGGGGACAACAUUCCGAAAGGAGUGCUAAUACCGGAUGUGAUCAUCGUGCCGCAUGGCAGUAUGAAGAAAGAUGGCCUCUACAGGUAAGCUAUCGCUAAAGGAUGGGCCUGCGU
rnacentral:rRNA from 1 species